rnacentral:rRNA from 1 species
CAGCCGCCGCGGUAAUACGGAGGGAGCUAGCGUUGUUCGGAAUUACUGGGCGUAAAGCGCGCGUAGGCGGUUACUCAAGUCAGAGGUGAAAGCCCGGGGCUCAACCCCGGAACUGCCUUUGAAACUAGGUGACUAGAAUCUUGGAGAGGUCAGUGGAAUUCCGAGUGUAGAGGUGAAAUUCGUAGAUAUUCGGAAGAACACCAGUGGCGAAGGCGACUGACUGGACAAGUAUUGACGCUGAGGUGCGAAAGCGUGGGGAGCAAACAGGAUUAGAGACCCCAGUAGUCCCUGUCUCUUAUAC